GAGUUUGAUCAUGGCUCAGGAUGAACGCUAGCGGCAGGCUUAAUACAUGCAAGUCGAGGGGCAGCAGCUUUAUAGCAAUAUAGAGGCUGGCGACCGGCAAACGGGUGCGGAACACGUACACAACCUUCCUUGAAUAGGGGGAUAGCCCAUAGAAAUGUGGAUUAAUACCCCGUAAUAUAGCGGUGUGGCAUCACACUGUUAUUAUAGUUUCGGCGAUUCGAGAUGGGUGUGCGGCUGAUUAGGUAGUUGGCGGGGUAAAGGCCCACCAAGCCUUCGAUCAGUAGCUGAUGUGAGAGCAUGAUCAGCCACACGGGCACUGAGACACGGGCCCGACUCCUACGGGAGGCAGCAGUAAGGAAUAUUGGUCAAUGGACGCAAGUCUGAACCAGCCAUGCCGCGUGAAGGAUGAAGGUCCUCUGGAUUGUAAACUUCUUUUAUAGGGGGCGAAAAAAGGUCUUUCUAGAUCACUGACAGWCCCCUA
rnacentral:rRNA from 1 species